GUGCAGCAGUCGCGAAUCCUCCGCAAUGCGCGAAAGCGCGACGGGGUUACCCCGAGUGCCGUCCGCUGAGGACGGCUUUUGCCCAGUGUAGCCAGCUGGGCGAAUAAGGAGAGGGCAAGUCUGGUGUCAGCCGCCGGCGGUAAUACCAGCUCUCCGAGUGGUGGGGACGCUUAUUGGGGCCUAAAAGGCAUCCGUAGCCGGUCUGGCAAGUCCCUUGUUAAAUCCAACGAUUCAA
rnacentral:rRNA from 1 species